ACAGGGAUUGCCCUAGUAACGGCGAGUGAAGCGGCAACAGCUCAAAUUUGAAAUCUGGCUCUUUUAGGGUCCGAGUUGUAAUUUGCAGAGGGCGCUUUGGCGUUGGCAGCGGUCCAAGUUCCUUGGAACAGGACGUCACAGAGGGUGAGAAUCCCGUACGUGGUCGCUGGCCUUCGCCGUGUAAAGCCCCUUCGACGAGUCGAGUUGUUUGGGAAUGCAGCUCUAAAUGGGAGGUAAAUUUCUUCUAAAGCUAAAUACUGGCCAGAGACCGAUAGCGCACAAGUAGAGUGAUCGAAAGAUGAAAAGCACUUUGGAAAGAGAGUCAAAUAGCACGUGAAAUUGUUGAAAGGGAAGCGCUUGCAGCCAGACUUGCCUGUAGUUGCUCAUCUGGGCUUUUGUCCAGUGCACUCUUCUACAGGCAGGCCAGCAUCAGUUUGGGCGGUUGGAUAAAGGUCUCUGUCACGUACCUCCCUUCGGGGAGGCCUUAUAGGGGAGACGACAUGCAACCAGCCUGGACUGAGGUCCGCGCAUCUGCUAGGAUGCUGGCGUAAUGGCUGUAAGCGGCCCGUCUUGAAACACGGACCAAGGAGUCUAACAUCUAUGCGAGUGUUUGGGUGUCAAGCCCGGACGCGUAAUGAAAGUGAACGGAGGUGGGAACCCUUUUAGGGUGCACCAUCGACCGAUCCUGAUGUCUUCGGAAGGAUUUGAGUAAGAGCAUGGCUGUUGGGACCCGAAAGAUGGUGAACUAUGCUUGAAUAGGGUGAAGCCAGAGGAAACUCUGGUGGAGGCUCGCAGCGGUUCUGACGUGCAAAUCGAUCGUCAAAUUUGGGCAUAGGGGCGAAAGACUAAUCGAACUAUCUAGUAGCUGGUUCCUGCCGAAG
rnacentral:rRNA from 1 species